GGCUGGUCUGAAGGUAGUGAGUUACCUCAAUUGAUUGUUCACAGUUAUAGAUCAAACUUCUUCUUCUACUCUUUCCCCUCUUCUCACUACUGUACUUGACUAGUCUUUG
ensembl:misc_RNA Y_RNA Y RNA